GUGGGUAUAGCUCAGUGAUAGAGAGAAUGCCUGGCAUGCACAAGGUCCUGGGUUCAACCCCCAGUACCUCCA
rnacentral:tRNA from 1 species